GACGAACGCUGGCGGCGUGCUUAACACAUGCAAGUCGAACGGAAAGGCCCUGCUUUUGUGGGGUGCUCGAGUGGCGAACGGGUGAGUAACACGUGAGUAACCUGCCCUUGACUUUGGGAUAACUUCAGGAAACUGGGGCUAAUACCGGAUAGGAGCUCCUGCUGCAUGGUGGGGGUUGGAAAGUUUCGGCGGUUGGGGAUGGACUCGCGGCUUAUCAGCUUGUUGGUGGGGUAGUGGCUUACCAAGGCUUUGACGGGUAGCCGGCCUGAGAGGGUGACCGGCCACAUUGGGACUGAGAUACGGCCCAGACUCCUACGGGAGGCAGCAGGGGGGAAUAUUGCACGAUGGGCGGAAGCCUGAUGCAGCAACGCCGCGUGCGGGAUGACGGCCUUCGGGUUGUAAACCGCUUUCGCCUGCGACGAAGCGUGAGUGACGGUAAUGGGUAAAGAAGCACCGGCUAACUACGUGC
rnacentral:rRNA from 1 species